ACUCCAAGCUGUGUUGCUUCAGAGAGAAGUUGCUAAGAAGGCUUCUGUUGCAAAUGGCACAAGCUGAAUGUUUCCCAGUGCCAGGCAAUCCCUCACCCAAGACAACUUGUACAGGCCCUUCACAUCCUCUUGGUGCUUUUUCAACACAGCAGCUGUACAGGCUGACUUCUGUCAAUCUGUGUUUUCCAAAGCACCAUCUAUUGAAAAGUCUCUUAUUUCUCCAUUAAAUUUUUUGGCACCUUCAUUGAAAAUCAGUCGAGCAUAAAUAAAAGCUGGGAUACAUGAAGACUGCCAUCCCUUGAGUCACUUGCCCUGUAGCUGCCACUGUUGGAAAAGGGCUUGCUUCUGUGUCCUUGUGCCCACUUUGAAAAUCCCUGGGAAGUCCUUGGAGUCAGAUGAGCAGGCCUCCGCCACUCUGCCAAAAAGUCUGUUCAGACCCCACUGAAAAUCACACUGUUCAACUCAC
rnacentral:lncRNA from 10 species